rnacentral:rRNA from 1 species
UACGAAGGGGGCUAGCGUUGUUCGGAUUUACUGGGCGUAAAGCGCACGUAGGCGGCUUUGCAAGUUAGAGGUGAAAGCCCGGGGCUCAACUCCGGAAUUGCCUUUAAAACUGCAUCGCUAGAAUUGUGGAGAGGUAAGUGGAAUUCCGAGUGUAGAGGUGAAAUUCGUAGAUAUUCGGAGGAAUACCGGUGGCGAAGGCGGCCUUCUGGGCCGAUCUUGACGCUGAGACGCGAAAGCGUGGGUAGCAAACAGG